UCGAUUAUAAUGUGAAUCUUCUUAGUUCUGUCCAGUCACUUACACAACACUGUCCAUUACACACGUGUUCAUAUUAAAUAUAUAAAAUGUUGUCCUUAAAGUGUUUAAUUGUUGUAUUUGUUUUGCAGUACAUAUGUCAAAUUACUUAUUGUCAGCCAAACCUGAAGUUCUUCCGAAAGGACUACAAAUAUAUAGAAGAUAUGAAAGCUUUUUAUAAAAUUCACACGUUACAUAGAACGUGGCAGGACGCAAAAGAUAGGUGUGCUAUGGAAGGUGCGACCCUUUUUUACCCAGAUGAUGAUGAUGAAGCAAAUAUUGUUAUUAAUUAUUGGAACGAAACGCAACCUUUCAGCUGGGUAUACAUUGGUAUAUCAACGCCUAAUGUCAAACAAGUUUUCGAAACAGUCGAUGGUGUACCAAUAACUGACGUGUAUGACAGGUGGGGCCCCGGAGAGCCCAAUGACGCGGGGGGCGUUGAAGGAUGCGUGAUCUUACGUAGAGACGGUACCCUCAAUGACGACCAAUGUGGUAGGAAGUAUCCGUUUAUUUGCAAGAAAACAUUGAACGCUCUUGAAUGGAACGUAUACUGCGACAUUCCUGAUCAAGGUUACGAAUACGUUAAGAAACUUGGUAGAUGCUAUAAGUUUCAUUUGACACCGAUGAAUUGGACGGACGCCUACACAGUGUGCAACACGGAACAGUCAUAUUUGGCUGUUAUCAACUCUCAAGACGAGGCGGACCAUCUCGUCGACAUCACAAACAAGGCCCCAAAAGACAACGUGGAAGGAAACUAUCUAAGAGGCGCAGUGCAUUUAGGAUUUCAGUUUAAGAAAAACAGAUGGCAAACUAUUAUUAAAAAUAUGCCAUUAAAUGACAGCGGAUACACUAAAUGGGGAGGCGGCCAGCCAGAUGGUAAAGGAGAGGAAAAGUGUGGCUCGAUGUUUUAUAAUGGCCACCUCAACGACAUCCGUUGCGAUCAAAGCUUAUUCUUUAUCUGCGAACACGAGAUAGACUUACUACGUACCAGCUACGUCCUCAGGUUUGGUGACGUGUUCACGGCAAAACCGCAUGACGGAAUGUAAAUAAAUAUUCUAAUGCAUGAUUUCAUUAUAAAGUUAAUUAAAUUCAACCACAAAAAUAAUUUGAUUCAAAUCGUAAUGUCGGUUUUGAGUCACUUAUACGACACGACACAUAUUGUAAAAUAAUAUCGUGAAGUGUAAAAUUGAUGUGUUUGUGACGAUUGAUCCAGAAGCGCCUAUAUUUUAAGAUUAUAAUUAAAUUAAAAUUUAAAAACAUAUUAUUUUGAUAACAGACUAAGGUCAAUAAAAUGUUAACGAUUAUUCUGUAUAUAUUACAUAUUUUUGCGGUACGUGAUAUUUAAUUAACUUCGAAUAGUGGCUAAGAACAGAUAUUUUUUUAGAAAAUAUUUAUUAAUGCCAUAUUACAGGAUUUUUAAAUUCAAGUUCAUUAUAACAUUUCUAAAAAAAUCUUUGUUCUAUACACUAUAACAAUCAUGAAAGAGUAAAUAUUUUGAUAUUCUUAUCGUAACAUUGUGGUAACACAAUGUUUUCAUUGUGCCUAAAGGUUAGUAAAAGGCAAAUAAAUCUAAAUAGUAUCUUAAGAUAAAUCGUUUAUAAUAACUUGUUUGUCAGAAAGUCGUGUGCCGACUUUGUAUUAAAUCACGACUACAAGUUAGUCAAUCGUCAGUUUAUUAAGGUUAUCAAUACUUAUUUUUAUUUGUUCUGUAUAUAAUAUGCCAUUUUUGGAUAUAGUAAGCUCGCAGUUUUCAUUUCAACAUCAAGGGAAUUUAUUCUUUUAAAUAGUAGGUCCUAUGGUGCUUAGUAUUUGCACGAGCUCCACCUGUUUUCCGUUCUAUCAUGAUAUAUUUUUGUUGUAAAUGUAUACCGGUUUCUAAAUGCAACGGAAAUACGCUUUCAGAUUGCAUAAUUCUAGUUUUCUUUAUUAGCGUUUAAAAGACGCGAAUAAUAAACUAUGUACGCAAAGCAUACAUUAUCGUUCGAUAGACUUGGAACCCGAAGAUACACGAAGUAUUUAUAUACAGUGUCAGCGGCACGUAUAUAGUAUGUAUAUAGUACGAUUUAUGCCCGGUUUACAUUAUUCCAGUCCAGCUAUCUAGUCCAGUAAGCAAUCCAGUACUGGACUAGAUCGCUGGACUGGAAUAAUGUAAACCGGGCAUUAAAAUCAAAUUUAAAAUACACCGUAUUUGAUAGUUUGGACACGCUUAAUGUUCGAUUAUCUUGUCAUAUAGUUAAUAAGGGUAACAAAUUUCUUACGACAAAUUUGUAUUAUACAGCUCUAUAUAUAUAUA